rnacentral:lncRNA from 1 species
AAAAAGUAAACAAAAUAAAGCAAAGGAGAAGAAAAGACAAGCAAAUUAAUGACACUGAAGGAGAUGACAAAGCCUAUUUUCGAUGGAAUAUACAAAUGGAGCGUUCAUUAGCGGAUAUACUUAGAGAAGAACGUCAGAUCGGUCACAAAGGAGAUGGUGGUUGGAAUGCAGUUGCUUAUAACACUGUUGCUGCCAUAUUGUCUGCACGAUUUGAUAUUGAAGUAAGUGCUGAUAACAUAAGAAAUCGUGUUAAAACCUGGAAAAGGUUU